UUAAAUGGCAAAGCUGUCGAAAGGCAGCGACGCAAAGCGAAGAGCCUAAGGCGCCCGGCGCUAUGGUCGUCCGGCUGC
rnacentral:ncRNA from 1 species